AACGAACGCUGGCGGCAGGCUUAACACAUGCAAGUCGAACGGGUGCAGCAAUGCAUCAGUGGCAGACGGGUGAGUAACACGUGGGAACCUUCCUAGGGGUACGGAACAACUCAGGGAAACUUGAGCUAAUACCGUAUACGUCCGUGAGGAGAAAGAUUUAUCGCCCUUAGACGGGCCCGCGUCGGAUUAGCUAGUUGGUGGGGUAACGGCCUACCAAGGCGACGAUCCGUAGCUGAUCUUAGAGGAUGAUCAGUCACACUGGGACUGAGACACGGCCCAGACUCCUACGGGAGGCAGCAGUGGGGAAUCUUGGACAAUGGGCGCAAGCCUGAUCCAGCCAUGCCGCGUGAGUGAAGAAGGUCUUCGGAUUGUAAAGCUCUUUUGCCAGGGACGAUAAUGACGGUACCUGGAGAAUAAGCCCCGGCAAACUUCGUGCCAGCAGCCGCCGUAA
rnacentral:rRNA from 1 species